UACGUAGGGUGCAAGCGUUACUCGGAAUUACUGGGCGUAAAGCGUGCGCAGGCGGUGAUGUAAGUCAGAUGUGAAAUCCCCGGGCUCAACCUGGGAACUGCAUUUGUGACUGCAUGGCUGGAGUGCGGCAGAGGGGGAUGGAAUUCCGCGUGUAGCAGUGAAAUGCGUAGAUAUGCGGAGGAACACCGAUGGCGAAGGCAAUCCCCUGGGCCUGCACUGACGCUCAUGCACGAAAGCGUGGGGAGCAAACAGG
rnacentral:rRNA from 1 species